rnacentral:rRNA from 1 species
UGGAUCCAGACUUUGUUAUGGCUCAGGAUGAACGCUAGCUACAGGCUUAACACAUGCAAGUCGAGGGGAAACGAUAGAGAAAGCUUGCUUUUUCUAGGCGUCGACCGGCGCACGGGUGAGUAACGCGUAUCCAACCUGCCCAUCACUUGGGGAUAACCUUGCGAAAGUAAGACUAAUACCCAAUGAUAUCUCAAGAAGACAUCUGAAUGAGAUUAAAGAUUUAUCGGUGAUGGAUGGGGAUGCGUCUGAUUAGCUUGUUGGCGGGGUAACGGCCCACCAAGGCGACGAUCAGUAGGGGUUCUGAGAGGAAGGUCCCCCACAUUGGAACUGAGACACGGUCCAAACUCCUACGGGGGGCAGCAGUGAGGAAUAUUGGUCAAUGGGCGAGAGCCUGAACCAGCCAAGUAGCGUGCAGGAUGACGGCUCUAUGGGUUGUAAACUGCUUUUAUAAGGGAAUAAAGUGAGCCUCGUGAGGCUUUUUGCAUGUACCUUAUGAAUAAGGACCGGCUAAUUCCGUGCCAGCAGCCGCGGUAAUAC